ensembl:lncRNA
CACAAUUAGAAGGUGUUACCUUGUUGGAGGAAGUGUGUCACUAUGGGGGUGGGCUUGGAGACCUUCCUUCUAGAUGCCUGAGGAUGCUCAGGCUGUUCCUGGCUUCCUUCGGGUGAAGAUGUAAAACUCAGCUCCCCCUGCACCAUGCCUGCUUGGAUGCUAUGAUGCUGCCAUGUUCCUGCCUUGAUGAUAAUGGACUGAACCUCUAACCUGCUACUGGGGUUCUGAACAGAAAUCUUCACUGGAAAAAUCAUGCAAUGGCCGAUAUAGAACAGACAGGAGAAAGCAGGACAAAGGCCAGAGAACUGGACUGCUGGUCCAUGAAGAGUUUGUGAGUGGACAGAGCCACUGCUGACCUGUAAACAGAACUGCUGAUUUCCAGACACCACAGACAGGAGUUGCUUCAAAGAACCUUUCUAAACAGGUCCACUUCUCUCCUGUAUCCUUUCUUUCCCACUAACUCUUGGUGGGUGGUGGGCUACAAGGGAGGUUAAAACAUUUAAGAACCAUCAUUAAAAAUAGAUUUUGAAAAAAAAUUAAAAGUUACACAUGAUAAAAUUUAUGGCUGGAAAAUAAAUCAGUGUUAUUUACUGUUGCUAUAUUUAUGGUUUAUAGAGGA